rnacentral:tRNA from 1 species
GGCUCAUUAGCUUAGUCGGUAGAUCGUCCGCUUAGUAAGCGGGAGGUCGCCGGUUCGAUUCCCGCAGAAGGCU